rnacentral:tRNA from 1 species
GAGGUUGUGGCUCAGAGGUAGAGUGCUUUCCUAGCAUGUGUGAGGCACUGGGUUUGAUCCUCAGCACCACA